rnacentral:lncRNA from 1 species
AAUGGAAGCUAUAGGGAAAAAAUAUAAGCAGCUAGAGAAAAACAACGUAUUUUUACAGGGGAAUACCAAUUCAAACAACUGUGGAUUUCUCAUCAGAAACCACAAAGGCUACAAAACAGUGGAAUAACACUCUGAAAGUGUUGAAAGACCUAUUGAUGCAGAAACCUAUGAACAGUGAAAAUAUCCUCCAGGAUUGAAGGUGAAAUAAAGUUUUCAGAUGAAGUACAAAUUAAGAAUAUUCAUCACCAACAGAUCUGCUCAAAAAGAAAUGCUGAAGGAAAUUCUUUAUGCUAAAAAGAAAAAUUACAAGAGCAAACCUUGGGUAAAGGAAAAGCAACAAAAAUGGUUCCUACUAAAUAGGAAAAGAGCUAUUUUCUAGUGGAUGGAAAGGAGUGUGGACAGUGACUGCCAAAUGAGAAAGUUAUGGUGGAAAAGAAUACUGAUGGCUUCUCUGCCUGUGACACAGGUUCUUCAUGAUCAGAACUACAGUUGUCCAAGAUAUACAACUGAGUAGACAUCUGUAUUCUUAAUAAAUGAAUAUUCCUUUAUUCCCCCACACCAUCACCUGGUAGUAUGCAGGAUAA